UACAGAGGUCUCAAGCGUUGUUCGGAUUCAUUGGGCGUAAAGGGUGCGUAGGCGGCGCGGUAAGUCGGGUGUGAAAUCUCGGGGCUUAACUCCGAAACUGCAUUCGAUACUGCCGUGCUUGAGGACUGGAGAGGAGACUGGAAUUUACGGUGUAGCGGUGAAAUGCGUAGAUAUCGUGAGGAAGACCAGUGGCGAAGGCGGGUCUCUGGACAGUUCCUGACACUGAGGCACGAAGGCCAGGGGAGCAAACGGG
rnacentral:rRNA from 1 species